GAGACCGAAAUCUCUGCGGGACCGUUUUGGUGUGUCUGUAACUCUGACCUCUAAAAAUGGGUUCUGUGAGAAGAGGAGAAGGAAUUGGAAUAAUUUCUGAGGUUUUCCUCUCCCCAGAUACCUGCGAGCUGUGGAGCUGCUGGAAGUGCUCAUUCCAAAGAUUCAUCUACUACAUGGAAGUAAAAGUAGAAUAAUAUUCUUCAUACUUUAUGCAAAAAAGGUAUCACUUGGUUGUGGUAAGUAUAGGAAUUUGUAUGGGCUGUAGGUUAUUAGUGAUUUACAGAAACAAAUAGCAAGGGAAAUGCUGUAGUUUCACUUCAGGUUUAUUUGAGGUGUACUUGUAGGUAGAUUUCAGAUUUAAUUUGUUCAUCUGUUGUUAUAAAAACAAACCGGUUAUUUUGUGCACUUUCUUAUUAUCAUGACUCGAAUAUUGUAUCAAGCAGAAGAUCUCUAUUCAGAUGUUUCUAAUAGGUAGAAUGAUGACUACCAAAUACUGAAAGGUAAAGAACUUAACAUUAUGAAGAUCUAUUCUCACCUUCAGAAAGAGACAAUUUUUAUUGUUGUUAAUAGAAAAUAUAUGCAUAGAGAGUAUGUAGGAACUCCCUUGCCUUCACAGCAAUAUUGGAGGCAUCUUUCCUAACCAGUGAAAGAAUCUAAAGACUGUUCUUUAUGUGAAAUAGCUGCUUAUUAAGUAGUAUUUGCUCUCAAAACUGUAAACAAUGUUACUUUGAUAGCAUCAUCCAUCAAUAAUUGCCAAAACCUUUUCUAACUAAUGCCUCACAAUGUCUCUCAGUUUCUGUCAAUUUUUUAGACAGGGAAAUGGAGGCAGAGGAAAGCUAUUGAUUUUUGGCAUGGUCAGAGAGCAAAGAAUGAAAGAAUUGGAUACACAGAACUUUUAUCUUCCAUUCCCUAAACAAUGCAUCCAUUUUAUCCUUAAAACAGAGCUUAAAUGCUUUUCAAUGAAAUAGGAUUUUUCUAA